rnacentral:rRNA from 1 species
UACGUAGGGUGCGAGCGUUAAUCGGAAUUACUGGGCGUAAAGCGUGCGCAGGCGGCUAUUUAAGCUUGCUGUGAAAGCCCCGGGCUUAACCUGGGAAUGGCAGUGAGGACUGGAUGGCUGGAGUGUGGCAGAGGGGGGGUGGAAUUCCACGUGUAGCAGUGAAAUGCGUAGAGAUGUGGAGGAACACCGAUGGCGAAGGCAGCCCCCUGGGCUAACACUGACGCUCAGGCACGAAAGCGUGGGGAGCAAACAGG